rnacentral:rRNA from 1 species
GUGAGGAAUUUUGCGCAAUGGCCGCAAGGCUGACGCAGCAACGCCGCGUGGGUGAUGAAGGCCUUCGGGUCGUAAAGCCCUGUCAGGUGGGAAGAAAGUCACGGGGUCCAAUAGGCUUCGUGUUUGACGGUACCACCAGAGGAAGCACCGGCUAACUCCGUGCCAGCAGCCGCGGUAAUACGGAGGGUGCGAGCGUUAUUCGGAAUUACUGGGCGUAAAGCGCGUGCAGGCGGGAAGGUAAGUCUGAUGUGAAAGCCCUGGGCUCAACCCGGGAAGUGCAUUGGAUACUGCUUUUCUUGAGUACUGGAGAGGAAGGGGGAAUUCCCGGUGUAGAGGUGAAAUUCGUAGAGAUCGGGAGGAAUACCAGUGGCGAAGGCGCCCUUCUGGACGGUUACUGACGCUGAGACGCGAAAGCGUGGGGAGCAAACAGGAUUAGAUACCCUUGUAGUCC